UUUUUAGGGCCACUGAAGCAGCAUCUGGUGGGCCUAUACUGGAAACAACCUCCUACACUGCUAGCAAGUUCCAUUCAGUCUGGUAGCUUAAGACACAUCCUCUGAGUAAUCUGAAUGCUUUCAGCUUGCCUGUAGACAAGAGGCAAAUCCUCCCAGUCCUGCCCCUCUCUGAAAACUGUCUUUCUUUGUCCAUGUUUAUCUUUUCUAAUAAUUGAAUCACUGGAUUUUGUUUCUGU